GGCAAGUACAGUCUGCUUCACUCAACUCAUUCAGACCCCUGGGAUCCUCGGAACUGGAACUCCAGCACUUUCAACGUGUGCUUUCCUAGUGGUCCUGGCCCUGAUUGCAAGUCUGUCUUCUACACAGUCUCUGAACUUCCUGGGUGCUGUUGGGCAGUGUAAUCCUCCACUAGGAGGCAGGCCUGAGUACAUGCGGACUCGCCUGUUCUAACUGAGCAGAGUGGGCAUUUGAUGCUGCUCCUCUGUCAACACCAUCUGAGUACCAAAUUAAUGAUGCACAUUAUUUCCUUCCCUCUCAUUCGGAGCAAGGACAGCGUACGACCCAAUCCUCAGAGCAAAACACCCUUCAGCUUACUUACAGUUCUUUGCUGUAUCAGAGAAAAGAACCUGGAAGCAGCCAUUCGACAACAAGGGGGUCACCAUCUUAAAGGACGACUGGAAGAGAGAAGAUGGGUAAUCUUUAAAACGCAAAGCGACUUGGUAAGUACAUGAAAAAUGAAGAGAAUCAUGAAGAAACUUAUAGUGGCUAUUGCACCAGAUCAAAUAAAGAAAGCCCAUAUGACCAAAACAGAGUCCACAGAAUAAGUAAACAAUAAGCCGCUUUGAGAAAAAAAUGAAAGAAAUUGUCCAGUUAUUCUCACUUUGCGGGGAUAAAAGUUGUUUCAAUCUGCCUUUUCAACAAGGGGAAAUUUUGUUCCCCAGAGGGUACUUGGCAGUGUCUGGAGAGAUAUAACUGGUCUGUACCAGUUGGAAAGUAGGACUACUGGUACAAACAUCCUACAGUGCACAGGACAGGCCUCUAGAGAAAAUAUUGUCUGUCCCCAAAUGGUAAUACUGCCAAGCCUGAGAAUCCCAUAUCAAGAUGGAACUACUUUUGCUGCCUGGAGUCACUACUUUAAACAGAUCCAGUACAUCUUUCCUUGGGGCAAUUUGCUCUGACCAACUCUGUUUCCCAUGGCCUAAACCUAAGAUGUAGAUUUGUUUCCAAUCUCCCACGUCAUGGCCCUGAGGUCCAUCUGGCUCCACUCACCUGAUCCUCUAGUUAAAGCUUCAUUCAACCUUAACAUGUGUCUAAUCUUCUUGAAGUGUUGCUAUGGAACUUGUCUGUUUCUAUGAUUUAAUUUAGUUUUGAAAGCAGAAGAUCCUGCAUGCCCAUAGUGGAUCUGACUGAAAUGGGACUUUGUGUCGCUCCCCCAUUCGCGGAGGAACGACACUAGACCCUGCAGUGUUCUUUUUGCUCGGCCCUUCCCGGGUUAGCUGCCGUCCCUCACUCAUGGAGGAACGACGCCGUCCCAGGUUAGCUGCCGGCCCCUCCACCUCCGUGGAGGGGCAGCACCCCCCGCUGAUUUCCCCGCUUCUGUGGAGGAGCAGCACACUGCCGGCCGGCUCUCUCAGGGGCUGCUCAGAUGUUCCUCAGGUGUUCCUCAGAUGUUCCUGGUGCAUGUUGUCUCUCUCCUCCUUUAUAGUCCUCUUCCACCAAUCCCAACUCUGCUGCCCACACGCUGAGCAUGCUGCUCUCCUCCAAUCAGGAGCAGGAUCAGCUCCUGCAGCUUAUUGGUAGAACUGGAGGCAGCUGUGUAGAAGUUGUUUGGUCUCUCUCUCAGCGCCAUAUUGUGGGAGAGCAGAUGCAUAGAAUAAGUCUUAAUUCCAGUAACUUAGUCUAGUGUCAGUUUCUCCCCACAACUUUGUCAUAUGAAAGUCUACCCUUUCCCAAAUGCCAAUUCCAGCUGAGACUUCUCCUAUAAGGGAACAAUAGUAUCUUCUUCCUGACAUGAUUCCUCACACUGACAUUCCCCAGGGACUUCUGCCAAGUCAUUAGAUUCAUUAACAUUGCGCAUUCUUCUUCCUCACCCUGGGAAGAUUUGAGCUUUGUUCCCCUUCCCAGAUCUUCACCAAACUAGAGCAGCCUUCAAAGACGCAUCUAUAGAGAAAGCAGACACUCAGAGGGUGGGUUCUGCCACGCUCCAGCCAGAGGCAGAUGUGAUCAGUGACUUCUCACUGACUUCUCACUGAUGAUGCAGAGAAAGAAGAUAUGCCGUCUACUCCUGUGCAUGACAUGAUUUGGUGUUGACUACAGAUGUGAACAACAGGUGACGUGACAAACAACCCUGAUGUCACAGCAGAGAGAAACAGCAACCUGCAAUUUUACUUCCCAUGUGACUGAUUUUUGAGGUUGUACACUCUUGGAAGGACUCUCACGACUUCUAAUUUCUUGGAAAGUCUGGUGUUGUGGAGGAUCAAGCCCCUUCUGUUGAGAAAUCACAAGAGUACUUAUGCAGUUUUUUAAUGCAACAGCACAUCAGAAAGAUCAUCCACCCAGGCCAAAUGGGAUUUAUCCCUGGUAUGCAGGGAUGGUUCAAUGUUCACAAAUCAAUCAAUGUGAUACACCACAUUAACAGACUGCAGAAGAAAAAUCACAUAAUUAUCUCAAUAGAUGCAGAGAAAGCAUUUGAUAAAAUACAACACCCUUUCAUGAUGAAUACUCUAAGCAAACUGGGUAUGGAAGGAACAUUCCUCAAUACAAUCAAAGCAAUCUAUGAAAAACCCACGGCCAGCAUCCUAUUGAAUGGGGAAAAGUUGGAAGCAUUUCCACUGAGAUCUGGUACCAGACAGGGAUGCCCACUCUCAUCACUGCUAUUCAAUAUAGUUCUGGAAGUUUUAGCCAGAGCUAUUAGGCAAAAAAAAAAAAGAAAGAAAUUAGAGGGAUACAAAUUGGGAAGGAAGAACUCAAACUAUCCCUCUUUGCAGAUGAUAUGAUUUUUUAUUUAGGGGAUCCAAAGAACUCUACUAAGAGACUAUUGGAACUCAUAGAAGAGUUUGGCAAAAUAGCAGGAUACAAAAUCAAUGCACAAAAAUCAACAGCCUUUGUAUACACAGGCAAUGCCACGGCUGAGAAAGAACUUCUAAGAUCAAUCCCAUUCACAAUAGCUACAAAAACAAUCAAAUAAAUACCUUGCAAUAAACUUAACCAAGGAUGUUAAAGAUCUCUAUGAUAAGAACUACAAAACCUUAAAGAAAGAAAUAGAAGGGGAUACCAAAAAAUGGAAAAAUCUUCCAUGUUCAUGGAUUGGAAGAAUCAAUACCAUCAAAAUGUCCAUUCUCCCAAAAGCAAUUUAUAGAUUCAAUGUGAUACCAACCAAAAUACCAAAGACAUUCUUCUCAGAUCUGGAAAAAAUGAUGCUGAAAUUCAUAUGGAGAGGCAGAAGACCUCAAAUAGCUAAAGCAAUUUUGUACAACAAAAACAAAGCCAGAGGCAUCACAAUACCAGAUUUCAGGACAUACUACAGGGCAGUUGUAAUCAAAACAGUACUGUUUCUGUACUGGUACAGAAACAGAUGGAUAGACCAAUGGAACAGAAUAGAAACACCAGAAAUCAAUCCAAACAUCUACAGCCAACUUAUAUUUGAUCAAGGAUCCAAAACCAAUAUCUGGAGUAAGGACAGUCUAUUCAAUAAAUGGUGCUGGGAAAAUUGGAUUUCCAUGUGCAGAAGCAUGAAGCAAGACCCCUACCUUUCACCUUACAUAAAAAUCCACUCAACAUGGGUUAAAGACUUAAAUCUAUGACCCAGCACCAUCAAAUCAUUAGAGAACAUUGGAGAAACCCUGCAAGAUAUAGGUACCAGCAAAGACUUCUUGGAAAAGACCCUGGAAGCACAGGCAGUCAAAGCAAAAUUAACAUUUGGGAUUGCAUCAAAUUGAGAAGUUUCUGUACUGCAAAAGAAAACAGUCAGGAACGUGAAGAGGCAACCGACAGAAUGGGAAAAAAUAUUUGCAAACUAUGCAACAGAUAAAGGAUUAAUAACCAGAAUCUACAAAGAGAUCAAGAAAAUCUGCAACAUCAAAACAAACCACCCACUUAAAAGAUGGGCCAAGAACCUCAAUAGACAUUUAUCAAAAGAGGAAAUCCAAAUGGCCAACAGACACAUGAAAAAAUGGUCAAGAUCACUAGCAAUCAGGGAAAUGCAAAUCAAAACGACAAUGAGGUUUCACCUCACCCUGGUGAGAAUGGCGCACAAAGAGAAAUCUACCAACAACAGAUGCUAGCAAGGACGUGGGGAAAAAAGGACACUAAGCCACUGUUGGUGGGAAUGCAAACUGGUAAAGUCAGUCUGGAGAUUGCUCAGAAACCUGAAUAUAACCCUACCAUACAAGCCAACCAUCCCACUCCUUGGAAUUUACCCAAAGGAAAUUAAAUUGGCAAACAAAAUGCUGUCUGCACCUUAAUGUUUAUUGCAGUUCAAUUCACAAUAGCUAAGACCUGGAACCAACCCAAAUAACCAUCAACAGUAGACUGGAUAAAGAAAUUAUGGGACAUGUACUCUAUAGAAUACUAUACAGCAGUCAAAAUCUAUGAAAUCCAUUAAUUUGCAACAAAAUGGAGGAAUCAAGAAUACCUCAUGCUGAGUGAAUUAAGCCAGUCCCAAAGGGACAAAUAUCAUAUGUUCUCCCUGAUUGGUGACAGCUAACCGAGCACCAAAAAGGAAACCUGUUGAAGUGAAAUGGAGACUAUGAGAAACAGUGACUUCAUCAGCCCUUGUUCUGACUGUUGAUGUACAAUUGAAUACUUUAUUCCUUUUAGUAUUUUUUUUUGCUCUAGUUAAUACUAUUGGUUGAACUCUGCAAUUAACACCAGUUAUUCUUAGGUGUUUAAAUUGAACUGAAAAGUGAUCCCCAUUAAAUAUAAGAGUAGGAAUAAGAGAGGGAGGAAAUGUACAAUUUGGGACAUGCUCAAUCAGACUUGCCCCAAAUGGUGGUGUUAGAAAUGUGCCAGGGGGUUCCAAUACAAUCCCAUCAAGGUUGCAUGUACCAAUGCCAUCUCACUAGUCCAAGUGAUCAAUAUCAGUUCACAGUUGAUCACAUUGAUAGGUCUAAGAGUCAAAGGGAUCACAUAAGACUAAUGUCUGCUAAUACUAACUGAUAGAAUCAAAAAGGGAGAGAACGAUCCAACCUGGGAAGCUGGAUACACAGCAGACUCAUAGAAUGGCAGAUGUCCUAAACAGCACUCUGGCCUCAGAAUCAGCCCUUAAGGCAUUUGGAUAUGGCUGAAGACCCCUUGAGAGCAUUUUAGGCAUGGAAACCCAAGACACUCUGGCAAAAAACAAAACAAAACAAAAAAAAAAAAACAAAACAAAACAAAAAAAACCACCUAAAUGAAAGAUCUCUGUUAGUGAGAUCCCAGUGGAAAAAAUGGGCCAUCAAAGAACUAGGUACCUUUCUCUGAAGGGAGGAGAGAACUUCCACUUUGACUAUGACCUUGUCUAAAUAAGAUUGCAGUUGGUGAACUCAAAAGGCUUCCAUAGCCUUGGCAACUCAUUACUAGAGCCUAGGGAGAUUACUGACACCAUAAACAAGAGUGUCAAUUUGUUAAGUUAACAACAGGAGUCACUGUGCGCUUACUCCUCAUGUAGGAUCUCUGUCCUUAGUGUGUUAUUCAAUGUCAAUUAAUGCUAUAACUAGUACUCAAACAGUAUUUCACUCUUUAUGUUCUGUGUGGGUGCAAACUGAUGAAAUCUUUACUUAAUAUAUACUAAAUUGAUUAUCUGUAUAUAAAGGGAAUUGAAAAUGAAUCUUGAUGUGAA